UUGCUAUGAUGACUUCUUAGGACACCUUUGGAUGACCCAUGAAAAUAAACAAUUAAAUCUGAGCAAC
rnacentral:snoRNA from 1 species